CAAUGAAUACUGGUUUGUUCGUUGGGUUGAAAUAUCGAUUGCUAGGUUAAAGUAAUAUCGAUUGAACCUAGGGUUAAGGGGGGGGGGAAUCCAUGGAUAUUCCUCUAUCUCGUCUUAACUAACAUCUGAAGAAUAUCAAUUGUUUCUCAACCGAUGAGAUUUGGGAUUGAGGAUCAGAAUCAACCACAAGCCAAGAAAAAGCGAGGUAGGCCUAGGAAGUACACUCAUGAUGGUAGCAUUGUGUUGGGUUUAGCUCCCACGUCUCCUCUUCUCUCCACCGUUUCUAAUUCUUACGGUGUUGUGGUGAAGGUGGUGUUGGAGAUAGUGGAGGAAAUGGAACUCUGUUGAUCCACAUGGUAAACGAGACGAGGAGGACCUCCUGGUUCUAGCAAGAAGCAGCUUGAUGCUUUAGGAGGCGCUGCAUGAGUUGGGUUUACACCUCAUGUCAUCGAAGUGAAGACAUGAGAGGUAAAGUGUUGUUGUUCUGUUUUAGUAAUCUCAAAAUGUGUUUUAUUGCAUCAUUAUUAAGAUCCUAGCAUACACUGAACAACACUUACUUAAACUUAUUAUUUUCUACUCACAUGUACAUACUUGACACUUGCAUUGCAAUACAUGUCUAAGAUGA